CAGGACUGAGUGGCAGUGGGCGUGGCAGUUUAUCUCCUCCACGGGUGUCUCCUGGAUGGCAGCGCAGCAGCGGGAGCAGGCGCGGCAGCAGGAAGAGCAGAAGGUGUGGAGGCAGGAAGAGCAGGAGUCCAGCAGGCCGAUCUGGAACUGUGAGACCACAUCGGGGACAUGCUGGACAUGUCUGUCGUCCUGGUCCCUCCUGUGAGGUAGAUGUUCUCUGGGAAACAUGUCUGAUUCUCAUGGCUGCUCAGGAGCUCUAGUCCUGCGUCUUCAUCCGCUCACCUCCUCCAUCCUCCUCCUUCUGUCCACACAGGGGUCGGGAAACCUCCAGCAACACCCCGCAUGCCGCCCUGAGUCACCACUCAGAAGACUCUGAGCUAGAAUCACAGUGAUCAGGGACAGAUACCGGACUGACUCCUGAGGCUACGGUCAAACACACGUUCUUACCUGAACAGCAGCGUGUGGAGACACGUUCUUCAUCAGAGGAUGACUCCUGUUGAAAAGUCGGCCGUCACUGCACACAACCUACCUCAGGACUGUGGGGGUCAGCGGCCGGGUCAGACUGAGGCGACCGUCGCCUCUCAGAAGCAGGGAGCCACUGUACCGCCGCAGAUGGCAGAUGCAGACGGACUCACAUCCAGGCCAGUUACAGACCCCGCGGUUAUAGAGGACGCCUGAGGACACAGCCUCAGCACUAGGAGAAGAAAAACAAGAGA